rnacentral:rRNA from 1 species
GACGAACGCUGGCGGCGUGCCUAAUACAUGCAAGUUGAGCGCUGAAGGUUGGUACUUGUACCAACUGGAUGAGCAGCGAACGGGUGAGUAACGCGUGGGGAAUCUGCCUUUGAGCGGGGGACAACAUUUGGAAACGAAUGCUAAUACCGCAUAAAAACUUUAAACACAAGUUUUAAGUUUGAAAGAUGCAAUUGCAUCACUCAAAGAUGAUCCCGCGUUUUAUUAGCUAGUUGGUGAGGUAAAGGCUCACCAAGGCGAUGAUACAUAGCCGACCUGAGAGGGUGAUCGGCCACAUUGGGACUGAGACACGGCCCAAACUCCUACGGGAGGCAGCAGUAGGGAAUCUUCGGCAAUGGACGAAAGUCUGACCGAGCAACGCCGCGUGAGUGAAGAAGGUUUUCGGAUCGUAAAACUCUGUUGGUAGAGAAGAACGUUGGUGGGAGUGGAAAGCUCAUCAAGUGACGGUAACUACCCAGAAAGGGACGGCUAACUACGUG